AUAAAGGAACAGAUAACUCGAUCAAUUUUUCUAUCGAUCAUGAUAUACGUAAUAAUUCGGACAUCUAUUUCAAAUGCAUAUCCCAUUUUUGCGCAGCAGGGUUAUGAAAACUCACGAGAAGCAACUGGACAAAUUGUAUGUGCUAAUUGCCAUUUCGCUAGGAAGCCCGUCGAUAUUGAAAUUCCCCAAGUUGUGAUUCUCGAUACUAUAUUUGAAGCAGUUCUUCGAAUUCCUUUUGAUAUGCAAUUGAAACAAGUUCUUGCUAAUGGAAAAAAGGGAGGGUUGAAUGUAGGUGUUGUUCUUAUAUUUCCCGAGGGAUUCGAAUUAGAUUCGAUGUAG
rnacentral:rRNA from 1 species